CUAGGGGAGACCUGGAUCUGCACAUUUGCACCCUAGAUCCGGCAUCUCUGGGUCCAUUCCUCCAACUCUCCCUGCCCCAUGGAACAGUGCAGAUGUUAGACCAAAAGCAGCAGCCCGGGACGUUUUCAACAAAACUGCCUUCACUCACUGUAACUUACCAACUCCUAAAGUGGUACCCUCCCCUCCCCUGCAAGGGACUCAGCAAGCAAAGCCCAGUACUUCCUGGUCCAUAUUACAUUUCUAACAAGUCAUUAUGACAACUAUCACAAAUACACACACACACACACACACACACACACACACACACACACACACACACACACACCACUCGUGCAGUUCAACAGCUAAGGAAGCAAGUUUAGUUCCAAACACCUGGGAUGCCAUCCCAGAACCGGGCUAACCCCAGGGCUCCAGAUGCAGCUCACUUGUUCAACAAAGUCUUGGGACCACAGCUCAUCAUCGUAGCUCAGGAGUCCUGGAUUGGAGUACAGUUCAUCCUCUUUUUGCUCUGGCUUAGUGUUUUCCUUUCUUCUCCUUUCCCCAGGCUCUCUAAUAGAAGAUUCUGAGAGCCCCUUCAGCCAGUGCAUGAUGUAUAUAUACUUCUGCAUGGCUUCAGGCAGGAUCUCUGAGUGUCUUGGUCUCUGGUGACUGCUGAUAUCUGGAGGCAAGCAGGCUCAAAGCAACUGCACUCGUGACCAUGGACUGAAACUACUGAAACUGUGAGCUCAAACCAACUCUCCUUGCAAGUUGAUUUUCUCAGGGACUUAUUCACAGAGCUGCAGAGCUAACAGGCACCUUCUUGUGCCUUGCCAAGCUGCCACUCCACUUGGUGGUAAAUGGUCAUGAAGGAUUUGUUAAGUCCACACGUGAGUGAGUGCUCAGAGGGAAGUUUCCUUGUUUCUGAGCAGGAGUGGAGAAGCAUCCAAGGUUCGCGGCUUUGUUCCCAUGGAUCCCACCUGGAGGCCCUUCACCCACUCCACAUGCCAAUUCAGCCCUUCUGGAAGUCCUUGAAACUCCUCUGCCCCCCUCCCAGAUGGCUGCAUCUCUCUGGACCCUGUUCCUCGGGGCUGCCCUCCUCACACUCAUUGGAUUUUCCCUCCUGAAUCACGCUGACAGGAGCUUGUACCUCCUGAGAGAAUGGAAGCCGUGGCCUGGGGUCUUCCAGGCCAUAGAGGGUGCCAGGUGAGCGCAGCAGGGAUUAGAAGCCAACAGGUGUAAGGGCUUUCAAAGGCAGUAACUCUCUAGGUUGCAACUCCCUGAGCUGUCACAGACACUCCCGCUCCUCUCUGGACCCCUCCACAUCUGAUCAACGUCAGGCUCCAUCUCUCAUGUAGGCCCCCACAGUUCCCAUCAGUGCAGCCAGUAACACCUCUGAACUGGGGUGACCUCAUCUUAACUCAAGAUGCAGUUUUACUGAAGUGAUAAGAAAUCACCUGGCUGAGGGGCAUAUAUAGUAUUUGCCUGGAAAUUGACUCAUGGGAGGGCAGGGGACAGUAAGAUAAACUGAGGUCUCUAGGAGACAAGGAAACACGGUCAGUCCUCAUGGACAAUAUCUGUGUCAUUAGACAGAUGUGGUUGGGGUCAUGGGCCUCCCUCUGGGAGCUGAGAAUGAAAAAAUGAUAAAGAUCUGGGCAGAUGAAGUUCUGGGAGGUAUGAGGGACCAUCUAGGAGGGGACUAUGAGUCAAAGAAAGAUCCAUGUGUUUUGAUGGCAGCAGACUGCCUCAGAGCAAGGCCCAGGGGGAAAGGCAUGUCACCCCAGACCCCUUUCCUCUCACCCUGCAUCUUCCUCUGCUGCCUGCCCCUUCCUGGGGCCCCAGGGAAGGCAGACUCACUUCGGAAGGCAGUGGGCUGUAGAAGCUAGGUGGUAAGAGCUGAGAAAGACAGGUCCUCGGAGAGGCAAACCCCAGUACAGCAGUCUGGCCUGCCAAGGCCAUUCACCAUUACUGUGUCCAGGCCACAGAUUUCCUUCCCUACCGUCUAGGGCUUUCUGCAAACCAUGGAGACAACCCAAAGUCACGUGUUAGAGACAAGGUCCCAAGGAGGUUCCUCCUCCAUAGAGUGUAAGACCAAGGACAAGUGACAUGGCCUGAGUGACUUUGGGAUGCCCUGACCUCUGCCUCUCCUGGCCACCAGCAGGGACAGGAUGGAGAGCCACAUCUGAAAGUUCUGUGGGAAUGAGAGCUCACGGGUCUUAGGGGAUGGAGUGGGGUAGAAGUGCAGCCACAGCACCCCAUCUUAAGUGGGCCUGCCAGGGCAGGUGGCUGGGAGUCCUGGGAGUCCUGCACCAACAACACACCUCUGGGCCCAUACUGAAGGUGAAAGAACUGGAGAAACAGGUGACCAAAGUCAAUGCUCAAGGUCAUGGCUUCUGUGUAGCUGUGCCCCCACCCGCUGCCCUCCUCCAGCAUCCCUGGGAGAAUAACUGAAGGACCUGUGGAAUAUUGCCUUCCAUUUCUUAGAGGGAACGAGGUGGGGCCAGUGAAUGCUGUUUGCUUCUUAGACUUAUCUGGAAGGGGAUCGCUGUACCCAGACCUUGAGAGGCUGUGCCUUCUUUGGGCCUGCCCUCUGAGCCUCAGGGAGGGACUGGGGACUUUGUCCCCAUCUUCCACAGUCCUGUGCUCCCUGCUGCCAGUACUGAGACAGCCCUAGAUGCCUUUCCAGUCCCCUGGCCCCACAGCUGGCCACAGCUGUAGAUCUGCCGCAGAGGAAAAUGAGACUCUUGUGAUUGACUUCUCUGGGAAAGACAUGUCACUUCCUGAGCUGGACUAGGGCUUCUCAGCUCUCGCCUCGCACGUGCUUACUGUCCUUGAGAGGGAGAUGGGGACUAUCCUGCAGUAUCCCAGGGCCCACUGAGCACAAGCCCCCAACACUGCUACAGCCCAGGCUCCCCAGUGCUCCCAGCCUUACAUGUUCCGAAGACACUAGGCUGAAGGACAAAGCUGAGGGCUGGGGUUGCAACAACAGCAGCAGCUUCGUCUGCCUCAGGUCUUCACUGACUGGCACCUGUCCUACGUGCAAGGACCGCAGGGGGAGGAUGCCCCUGACCUGGGCUGACAUUGCCUGACCACAGCCCGCCCUACAGAGAUAGUCUACUCCUUUCUCUCCCUACUCUGGACCCUUCCAGAUGCCUUGGCUGUUCUCUCCCUCAUACCUACAAUAAAAACCUUCCCCUCAACCAUA